rnacentral:rRNA from 1 species
UACAGAGGGUGCAAGCGUUGUUCGGAAUUAUUGGGCGUAAAGAGCGUGUAGGCGGCCAGGUAGGUCUGGUGUGAAAGCCCCCGGCUCAACCGGGGAGGGUCGUCGGGGACCGCACCGCUUGAGGGCGGUAGGGGCUGGUGGAAUGCCUGGUGUAGUGGUGAAAUGCGUAGAGAUCAGGCGGAACACCCGUGGCGAAGGCGGCCAGCUGGGCCGUCCCUGACGCUGAGGCGCGAAGGCGUGGGGAGCGAACGGG